rnacentral:tRNA from 1 species
CGGGAUGUAGCUCAGUAGGCUUAGAGCGCUUGGUUUGGGACCAAGAGGUCGCAGGUUCGAGCCCUGUCAUCCCGACCA